UUGUAAUUCUACCCUCCCUGGGGCGCUGUGGAUAUCGCUCUCCCACGCCCCCAGUGAGUAACUUAGCGUGUGGUGGCCGUCCUUCCGCUCUUGUGGUGAGCGAGCCCGCGAGGGCAGCCAGCUCCGGGGCAUACACAGAAGUGGUCGUGAGGUACCAUGGAUUCAUCACUCACAUUCACCACUUACCAAUGAAAACCUGUCCUUUUCCUUUUAAGUCUGCAACCCCAAGUGUGCAUCUUGUUGGGCAUUGUCUCUCCCCAGCGGCCCAUGCCACGCCUGCAUCCGGAGUCCCCAUCUUUCUAGGGAGAGUUCAAAUCCAAGUCUGCCCCUUUCUCAGUGAAGCUGUUGUCUGUGGAAAGCUCUGCCUCUGCAACUUGACUGUUCUCUAGGAAGACCACUCAACAGGCCAGGAAUAUGGCUCCAGGGCUCCUGACAACCAGGGAUGAGGCACUAAUGGCCUUCCGGGAUGUAGCUGUGGCCUUCACCCAGAAGGAGUGGAAGCUACUAAGUCCUGCUAAGAGGACCCUAUAUCGGGAUGUAAUGCUGGAGAACUACAGCCACUUGGUGUCGCUGGGUAAGGACGGCCCUUCUCAGGUCUCUGACUCUGCCUGUGGGCAUUUUA